UACGGAGGGUGCAAGCGUUAUCCGGAUUUACUGGGUUUAAAGGGAGCGCAGGCGGAUUGGUAAGUCAGUGGUGAAAUACCCGUGCUUAACAUGGGAACUGCCAUUGAUACUAUCAGUCUUGAAUGUUGUUGAGGUUUGCGGAAUGGGUCAUGUAGCGGUGAAAUGCAUAGAUAUGACCCGGAACACCUAUUGCGAAGGCAGCAGGCUAAACAAAUAUUGACGCUGAGGCUCGAAAGCGUGGGGAUCAAACAGG
rnacentral:rRNA from 1 species